rnacentral:rRNA from 1 species
AAUGAACGCUGGCGGCAGGCCUAACACAUGCAAGUCGAACGGAUCCUUCGGGAUUAGUGGCGGACGGGUGAGUAACGCGUGGGAACAUACCCAAAGGUACGGAAUAGCGUCGGGAAACUGGGAGUAAUACCGUAUGUGCUCGAAAGAGGAAAGAUUUAUCGCCUUUGGAUUGGCCCGCGUUGGAUUAGGUAGUUGGUGGGGUAAGGGCCUACCAAGCCGACGAUCCAUAGCUGGUUUGAGAGGAUGAUCAGCCACACUGGGACUGAGACACGGCCCAGAAUCCUACGGGAGGCAGCAGUGGGGAAUCUUAGACAAUGGGGGAAACCCUGAUCUAGCCAUGCCGCGUGAUCGAUGAAGGCCUUAGGGUUGUAAAGAUCUUUCAGGUGGGAAGAUAAUGACUGUACCACCAGAAGAAGCCCCGGCUAACUCCGUGCCAGCCGCCGCGGUAA